UACGUAGGCAGCGAGCGUUUGUUCGGAAUUACUGGGCGUAAAGCGUGCGCAGGCGGUUUUGUAAGUCUGUCGUGAAAUCCCCGGGCUCAACCUGGGAAUUGCGAUGGAGACUGCAAGGCUAGAAUCUGGCAGAGGGGGGGUAGAAUUCCACGUGUAGCAGUGAAAUGCGUAGAGAUGUGGAGGAACACCGAUGGCGAAGGCAGCCCCCCUGGGUCAAGAUUGACGCUCAUGCACGAAAGCGUGGGGAGCAAACAGG
rnacentral:rRNA from 1 species